rnacentral:lncRNA from 1 species
AGACUGGUUUUGACCUCAGCCAUUGUUUCGAUCCAGUGGAGGAGAGCCAUACAACUGGCACAGUGAGCUCCUGGUCCUUAGACGCCCAUUUUAGGUUUAAGGUCAAAGAAAGGGAAGACAUCCAAGGACUAGGAGAAGCCCCAGCUAUCCGCGGAUCUGGAGGAAAGGGGAGGGGAGAUGCCUGUCUUUAACCUUGGAGUCCUGCAAAUUUACAUGGAUUAAAACCUAUCAACUCCAUUACCCCUGUACAGAUUAGCCUCUUAGGGCCCUUAAACACUCAGUGCAGGUCUUCAUAUUAUGCAGACCUGUCUCCGGUGGGCAGAACAAAAGGACGGACGUUUAAAUAUCAGCAUUUAAAUCUAAGCGAGAACUCUGAAGAGGCGGGGAGGUCCUGGGUAGUUCCCAGCCUCUUAUUUACCUCUUAAAUAUUCCUUUCUUACCACAUUUAUUUUUAAGCUUAUUAACAUCAACUGACAACGAUAAUCAUAGCAAAUGCUUAUAUAGUUCAUACUUUGUACACCGGUUUUGUAAGGGGGCGGGGUUGUUUUGUUUAGUGAUGAGGUCAGGGCAGGAACUCCAGGCAGGAAAUGAUGCAGAGGCCUCGGAGGAGGGGGCUGUUCAUUGGCUUGUUCUUGUUUUGUUUUUGAGGGAAGGUCUUAGUAGGUCCCCCAUUGCUGGCCUGACAUUCACUAUUUUGCCUAGGCUUGCCUCGGACUUGGGGCGAUCCUUCUGCCUGGCUACCCAGAGUCCUGGAAUUACAGAUUUGUACUGCCUUGCCUUGCUCAAGCAUUGUUUGCAGGUCUUGUUGUUGUUUGUUUUGUCUUUAAUCCAUACCCACUCUUUGAGUCUUCACAGCGGCAUGACGACAUAAAUACUAUUACCAGAUUCAUUUCAUAGACAAGUAUUACAUCUCAAAGAAACCUGGGACAAGUCACACUCAGUAUCAGCGGCUCCUCCCAUCAUUUCACGCCCCGCCCUAAACCCCUCCCCCAGAGGCGGGGCUUCUCUUCCCCAAACCCAAACCCUACAAAACAGCCUGUAUCUUGGCUCUGCUGCUUCUCCUGAUCUGUGUGGCACCUCUCUUGCUCUCCCUCCCCCACUUUCCUGCUCAUGUACACCCUGGACUCUUCCCUCUGCCUGCUUUCUCCUUUAUAGCUACAUUAAAAGUCUUCUCCAUACUUUAGAAGUAGUCAGGUCAUUUCUUUUCUUCCUUCUUUUAAAUGUUUAUUCAUCAACGAAGCAGAAACACAGAAAGGACAAGUAACUUGAUUCAGGUCUUGUGACAAAUGGCAACGCUAAGGUUCGAAGUCCCAGAGUCCACCCUCAUGUCAUGACCCUGCUAGUCUUAGAUAAAUAGCCCCAUUAGAGGCGCUUCAAGGUAAAGAGACAGGAUAACAAACUGAUACAGAGACUGUGUGUGGAGAUUGUCAUAUAAUGGCUUUAAAGGAACCACUGGCUUCUAAAGUCUUAUCUCAUUUGCUCUGGGGUAGAAUAUGUGACAGCACAAUGGCUUCAUUUAACCAAGAAGAUGCAGAUGCAGGGUAAUUAAUUUUAUGGGACUUAAAGCCAAGCCUUAAGGAGUUUAGAGCAUCCCAUUUUCUUAGAUCCUAAUUGCCUUGUAAAGAACCUAAAGCCCAAGUGAGAAGGUAGCUCAGAAGGAGGGACCUUGCCUGCCAUGGACCAAGGUGGAUGGCUCCCAGCAUUGCAUAGAAAAAAGAAGGCACACACACACAAAGUCUAGAUCAUCUAGCCACAGACAGGACACAUGUAAAGAGAGUCCAAGUCUGAGAAGCCAGAGAGUGAACAGGGGUCUUCUGCUAAAAGUGCCCACCAACAGGGAUACUCCUUGUUAAACUGUCCCAGGAGAUAACAUGUAGAGCAGAGAUGAGCUGAGCCUGCUAAGCUCUGCCCCCAAUUUGAUUCCAAAAUGUUGCAUUUAAUUUACAAUUUUAACCAUUGCUAACCAUGCACCCUACCACUGAGCACGUCCCAGGCCAGCUUUAGUCACCUUUAAGAGUACAACUGAGUGGUAAUAAGUGCAUUCAUAUUACUGUGUAACCAACACCAGCAUCCAUCUCAAAGGUCUCCAUCAUCCCGUUCUAAAACAACAGCACCCCAUUCCCCGUCACCUCAGCCUGCCUGCCAUUGCCCUAUUUAUGACCCUGUGAACUUGCCAGUCAUUUUGAAGGUGGUUUGCUAGGCAACAACACAUAACUUUAUUACUAAUACAUUUAACAAUCACACUUUCAGAAUACAUUAAUGUGCUUGCCAGUUUGACGAGUGUCAGUGUCACAGAAGAAUCUGGAGCUAGGCCAGAGCUUCAGUUCACUUUGUCAUUUGCAUAUUAAAUUCUAGGCUACAGUGUUAAUGAGUACACUUAUGCCUAACAUUUACUUUAAAAUUGAGAGGGCAGCUUCUCACUUAAAAGUCAUUUUUAUCUUUCACAGUUGCUUUGCAUUUCAAUAUCAUUAUUAAGUUAUUUUAAACCACAGUGAAUCUGGGACUAAGGAUCUGAGUGUAAGCAACUUGCCCAAGGUCACAGAAGAGAAUGAGUUUGCAACUACUUAUUGGCCACUCCUAUUUGUAAAGGAAAGAGGGGGCUCAAGGGACAAUUUACCACCUUGGAAGAGACAAUAAUACAAGCAUGGUCUUCAAAUAUCUUCUGCUUUUGUGGGAAACAUCUGGUUAGGUCCUGAAGAAUGUCCCUGAGUGACAUCAAGGCGGCUCCUGGUAAAGUGUUUGGUAAGGUGUUACAAUGCAGAAACAUUGUAACAAUAAGUGCAGCUGUUGUUGAGGCAGAAGAGGGUGAGGUAGCAGGCCAGGUAGAGCCCUGUAGGCAAAGCCACUGAAUCGUGCCCUACGAGUAAAGAGAAUAGUAAGGUCUUUUCAAUGUGUCACUAAACUUUUUUAAUGAACCAUCAGAAUUCAUUGCGAC